GGGGGGGGGGGGGGGGGGGGGGGGGGGGGGGGGGGGGGGGGGGGGGGCGCGGGGGGUGUGGGGGGCGCGGGUGGCGCAGGGGGGAGUAACAGGGGGGGGGCCUGCCCUUGACGGUGGGGUGACUUCCGGGGACUGGGGCUAAUACCGGGUAGGAGCUCCUGCUGCCUGGUGGGGGGUGGGAAGGUUCGGCGUGUGGGGAUGGACGCGCGGCUGCGCAGCUUGUUGGGGGGGGAGGGGCUUACCAAGGAUUGGACGGGUAGCCGGCCUGAGAGGGUGACCGGCCACAUUGGGACUGAGAUACGGCCCAGACUCCUACGGGAGGCAGCAGUGGGGAAUAUUGCACAAUGGGCGGAAGCCUGAUGCAGCAACGCCGCGUGCGGGAUGACGGCCGUCGGGUUGUAAACCGCUUUCGCCUGUGACGAAGCGUGAGUGACGGUAAUGGGUAAAGAAGCACCGGCGAACUACGU
rnacentral:rRNA from 1 species